CCUACGGGAGACAGCAGUGAGGAAUAUUGGUCAAUGGGCGUAAGCCUGAACCAGCCAAGUCGCGUGAGGGAUGAAGGUUCUAUGGAUCGUAAACCUCUUUUAUAAGGGAAUAAAGUGUGGGACGUGUCCUGUUUUGUAUUUACCUUAUGAAUAAGGAUCGGCUAACUCCGUGCCAGCAGCCGCGGUAAUACGGAGGAUCCGAGCGUUAUCCGGAUUUAUUGGGUUUAAAGGGUGCGUAGGCGGCCUUUUCAGUCAGCGGUGAAAGUCUGUGGCUCAACCAUAGAAUUGCCGUUGAAACUGGGAGGCUUGAGUAUGUUUGAGGCAGGCGGAAUGCGUGGUGUAGCGGUGAAAUGCUUAGAUAUCACGCAGAACCCCGAUUGCGAAGGCAGCCUGCCAAGCCAUGACUGACGCUGAUGCACGAAAGCGUGGGGAUCAAACAGGAUUAGAUACCCUAGUAGUC
rnacentral:rRNA from 1 species